rnacentral:rRNA from 1 species
ACGUAGGGGGCGAGCGUUGUCCGGAUUCACUGGGCGUAAAGGGUUCGUAGGCGGCAUGUCAAGUCUCACGUCAAAUCCCCGGGCUCAACCCGGGACCGGCAUGGGAUACUGGCAAGCUUGAGGACGGGAGAGGCGAGCGGAACGUUGCAAGUAGCGGUGAAAUGCAUUGAUAUGCAACGGAACACCAAUGGCGAAGGCAGCUCGCUGGCCCGUAUCUGACGCUGAGGGACGAAAGCCAGGGUAGCGAACGG